rnacentral:rRNA from 1 species
CCCGACUGCUAUUUGGGUGAGGAUAAGCCAUGCGAGUUGAAUGGGAAACCUAAAGAUCCCAUGGCAAACUGCUCAGUAACACAUGAUCAACUUACCCUAUAGAGAAAAAUAACCUCGGGAAACUGAGGAUAAUGUUUCAUAGUUGAAUUGGCUUGGAAAAGUUUUUCGACGAAAGGGGUAAAAAAAAUGGUUUUUAUCUGCUAUAGGAUAGGAUCGUGUUCGAUUAUGGUUGUUGGUGAGGUAAUGGCUCACCAAGCCGAUAAUCGAUAGGGGCCGUGAGAGCGGGAGCCCCGAGAUGGGUACUGAGACAACGACCCAGGCCUUACGAGGCGCAGCAGGCGCGAAACCUCCGCAAUACACGAAAGUGUGACGGGGUUACCCAAAGUGUUCAAUUUUGAACUGUGGUAGGUGAGUAAUGUUCCCUACUAGAAAGGAGAGGGCAAGGCUGGUGCCAGCCGCCGCGGUAAAACCAGCUCUUCAAGUGGUCGGGAUAAUAUUGGGCUUAAAGUGUCCGUAGCCGGUUUGGUAAGUUCCUGGUAAAAUCGGGUAGCUUAACUAUCUAUAUGCUAGGAAUACUACUAUACUAGAGGGCGGGAGAGGUCUGAGGUACUACAGGGGUAGGGGUGAAAUCUUAUAAUCCUUGUUGGACCACCAGUGGCGAAGGCGUCAGACUGGAACGCGCCUGACGGUGAGGGACGAAAGCCAGGGGAGCGAACCGGAUUAGAUACCCGGGUAGUCCUGGCCGUAAACGAUGCAUACUAGGUGAUGGCACGGCCAUGAGCCGUGUCAGUGCCGUAGGGAAACCGUUAAGUGUGCCGCCUGGGAAGUACGGUCGCAAGGCUAAAACUUAAAGGAAUUGGCGGGGGAGCACACAAGGGGUGAAGCCUGCGGUUCA